rnacentral:rRNA from 1 species
UACGUAGGGGGCAAGCGUUGUCCGGAAUCAUUGGGCGUAAAGCGCGUGUAGGCGGCUCGGUAAGUCUGCUGUGAAAGUCCAGGGCUCAACCCUGGGAUGCCGGUGGAUACUGUCGAGCUCGAGUCCGGAAGAGGCGAGUGGAAUUCCUGGUGUAGCGGUGAAAUGCGCAGAUAUCAGGAGGAACACCAAUGGCGAAGGCAGCUCGCUGGGACGUGACAGACGCUGAGACGCGAAAGCGUGGGGAGCAAACAGG